UACGUAGGGGGCAAGCGUUGUCCGGAAUCAUUGGGCGUAAAGCGCGUGUAGGCGGCCCGAUAAGUCCGCUGUGAAAGUCCAGGGCUCAACCCUGGAGUGCCGGUGGAUACUGUCGGGCUCGAGUCCGGAAGAGGCGAGUGGAAUUCCUGGUGUAGCGGUGAAAUGCGCAGAUAUCAGGAGGAACACCAAUGGCGAAGGCAGCUCGCUGGGACGGUACUGACGCUGAGACGCGAAAGCGUGGGGAGCAAACAGG
rnacentral:rRNA from 1 species